ensembl:lncRNA
AUUAUAUCCUAUUAAAUAAUUAAAUAAUAAAUAUUUAACACAUAGAUUUAAAUUAAAUGAAAUACAGUGUAUUUAAACGUGCGCUGGCCACGAGGGGCGUUAACGUGAUGUUACGUGAGUGACGUAAACGUGAUGGCAAAAAAAAAAAAAAAAACGUAAACGUAACGUGAUGGCGCAAAUAACCACGAAGACGGAAGAAUAAUUCUGUUUAUUACAAAAGACUGAAGAUAUAACUGCCGCCAUCCUUUAAUUUAUUUAUUUCUACGUGGAGGACACUUUAUAAACCUACAGAGAUACCGGACCAACGAACGACCUUCACAACGGGACGGAGCUAACGUAAUUAACGUUAACGGUUACUUGGAAAUUCAAACAGUAACGGUCAUCUGACAACUGCGCUGAGCCAAAGGUGGUCCAAGUUACAGUCUGAGGACCGGAACAGCAACAAGAGUUUAACUUCUGAUUCGUAAUCUACACACUCUACAGGGCAGUUCAUGAAGACAGAUAGAUGUUGUGCCGACCAGGACAGUUCCUCCUACCACACCAGACUUUGCUGUAUAUGGAUGCCUGACCACUAGCACUGGACAUUUACAACAUUUUGGCGCCAGGGAUCCCUUGCAGAGAAGAUUUUUCAAAGACACCCUCAGAAUUACAACAGAUUUUAAGGCUUAAAAUUAUU